rnacentral:rRNA from 1 species
AGAGUUUGAUCCUGGCUCAGGAUGAACGCUGGCGGCGCGCCUAACACAUGCAAGUCGAACGAGUAAGACGCCUUCGGGCGUGGAUAGAGUGGCGAACGGGUGAGUAACACGUGACCAACCUGCCCCCUCCUCCGGGACAACCUCGGGAAACCGAGGCUAAUACCGGAUACUCCGGGCCCCCCGCAUGGGGGGCCCGGGAAAGCCCUGGCGGGAGGGGAUGGGGUCGCGGCCCAUCAGGUAGACGGCGGGGUAACGGCCCACCGUGCCUGCAACGGGUAGCCGGGCUGAGAGGCCGAUCGGCCACAUUGGGACUGAGACACGGCCCAGACUCCUACGGGAGGCAGCAGUGGGGAAUUUUGCGCAAUGGGGGCAACCCUGACGCAGCGACGCCGCGUGCGGGACGAAGUCAUUCGUGACGUAAACCGCUUUCAGCGAGGAAGAACCAUGACGGUACUCGCAGAAGAAGCCCCGGCUAACUACGUGCCAGCAGCCGCGGUAAUACGUAGGGGGCGAGCGUUAUCCGGAAUCAUUGGGCGUAAAGCGCGCGCAGGCGGGCUUUCAAGCGGCGGCGUCGAAGCCGGGGGCUCAACCCCCGGAAGCGCCCCGAACUGGAAGCCUCGGAUGCGGCAGGGGGAGGCGGAAUUCCCGGUGUAGCGGUGAAAUGCGCAGAUAUCGGGAAGAACACCGACGGCGAAGGCAGCCUCCUGGGCCGGCAUCGACGCUGAGGCGCGAAAGCUGGGGGAGCGAACAGGAUUAGAUACCCUGGUAGUCCCAGCCGUAAACGAUGGACGCUAGGUGUGGGGGGACGAUCCCCCCGUGCCGCAGCCAACGCAUUAAGCGUCCCGCCUGGGGAGUACGGCCGCAAGGCUAAAACUCAAAGGAAUUGACGGGGGCCCG